UAAAGAAUUUCGGUAUGGGAUGGGGAUGCGUUCCAUUAGUUAGUUGGCGGGGUAACGGCCCACCAAGACAACGAUGGAUAGGGGUUCUGAGAGGAAGGUCCCCCACAUUGGAACUGAGACACGGUCCAAACUCCUACGGGAGGCAGCAGUGAGGAAUAUUGGUCAAUGGACGAGAGUCUGAACCAGCCAAGUAGCGUGAAGGAUGACUGCCCUAUGGGUUGUAAACUUCUUUUAUAUGGGAAUAAAAUGUUCCACGUGUGGGAUUUUGUAUGUACCAUAUGAAUAAGGAUCGGCUAACUCCGUGCCAGCAGCCGCGGUAAUACGGAGGAUCCGAGCGUUAUCCGGAUUUAUUGGGUUUAAAGGGAGCGUAGGUGGAUUGUUAAGUCAGUUGUGAAAGUUUGCGGCUCAACCGUAAAAUUGCAGUUGAAACUGGCAGUCUUGAGUACAGUAGAGGUGGGCGGAAUUCGUGGUGUAGCGGUGAAAUGCUUAGAUAUCACGAAGAACUCCGAUUGCGAAGGCAGCUCACUGGACUGCAACUGACACUGAGGCUCGAAAGUGUGGGUAUCAAACAGGAUUAGAUACCCUGGUAGUCCACACA
rnacentral:rRNA from 1 species